rnacentral:lncRNA from 1 species
CGUAAGUUAUUUUGGCUCAUGCUUUGCUAAAUUUGAAAGCGCAGACCUGCAUGUGUAUAUAACUAUAUAUACUUGUCCUCGUGGAAAUCCAAGUUGCUAUUCUUCAUAGCAUUAAACACAAUAAAUUUUACAGGAAUAUUGAUAGAGGGAUUCUAUAAAUUUAUUUAUGACUUUAUGAUUAUGUUUUUACUAUAGUUUAUGUUUCAAUUUGUACCUUGCAAACUGGCAAGUAAAAUAUCACUUAUUUAAGAAACAGAGUGCUGUUAAAAUGUGGCGGAUUACCUUUUAAAUGUUUUACAGGAUUCAACGAUAUAUGAGCAUCCUUCCAUGUCUACUUGUCUAGGGUAUAUUUUUUUCCAUUAAACUGAACUUCCUCGCAAAAAAAUUGUAUGUAAUACCCUCUUCUCCAUAAAUAAAUGACAUAUGCUUGGGCAGUAGGUCAUGCUUGGCAGAAUCGCCUCCUCCCGGUCUUCAGCACUCCUGCAGGAAUUGAGGGCCAGUGUGGUCGGGACACAUAGAACACCAACAAGCGACAAAAACGCACCACUCCGUAAGUUAUUUUGGCUCAUGCUUCGCUAAAUUUGAAAGCGCAGACCUGCAUGUGUAUAUAACUAUAUAUACUUGUCCUCGUGGAAAUCCAAGUUGCUAUUCUUCAUAGCAUUGAACACAAUAAAUUUUACAGGAAUAUUGAUAGAGGGAUUCUAUAAAUUUAUUUAUGACUUUAUGAUUAUGUUUUUACUAUAAUUUAUGUUUCAAUUUGUACCUUGCAAACUGGCAAGUAAAAUAUCACUUAUUUAAGAAACAGAGUGUUGUUAAAAUGUGGCGGAUUACCUUUUAAAUGUUUUACAGGAUUCAACGAUAUAUGAGCAUACUUCCAUGUCUACUUGAUCCUUUUAUACAGAAUAUGCAGCCAGAGUUUGGGCAAUG